GGGGGAGGACUCGGCGGCGCUAUGGGGUGGGAGGUCCGGGCCUGGAAGAGGGCGGACGCCCCCGAACUGCUGCGAAUGUUACGGGAAUGGGCGGAACUGGAGGGGGGGCCGAGGCCUUCGUGUGAGGAGGCUCUGCUCAGUGCACUCAAUGGAGCCGAGCCCCCCCCCGUGGUCCUGGUGGCGGAGCGCUGCGGACCCCCCCUGGGGGGUUUCGCCGUGGCCUCGUGGGGGUUCAGCACAUGGAGGGGCUGUGACCUCCGCCUGGGGGAGCUCUGGGUGCCCCCCCCGCUGCGAGACCAAGGUCUUCAGGAGCUGCUUCUGCGUGGGGUGGCCCAGUCCCUCUCCCGGACCCCCCCGAAAACCCGGAACCGAUGGUUGAGGGCCGAAAGGCCGUGCAGUCCGUAGCGGCUCACCAAAGCCCCCUGGGGGGUCGCCACCCCAAAAAGCACCCGGCGCACCCGCGCAUGGAGCAGCGCCAUGGCGCACAGCACGCACGGCUCCCGCGUCACGUACACGUCCCACCCCGAGCACAGCAACAACGCGACCCGUCACCGGGUCAACCACCGCCGCCCCCGACGGCACCAUCCCCAUCCGGGCGCCGCGCCGCGCCGCCGUCACCGCCGCCGCCAUGGCCGAGGUGUCACCCGCCGCCUCGGUGUCACUUCUGGCACCGCCGCCACCUCCGCGGGACACCCACGGCCACAGCCCCGCUGUCACCCGCCGUCGCCGUCUCCGGGCCCCGCGUUGGGCCCCCCCAACCCCAUAGGACCUUACAGGGCUCCACGUGGGCGUCUCUUCCUGCUCUCACCUCCCGAAGACCCGCCCCCUUCACUCCCAUUGGUCGACGCCGACACCGCGCCGCCAUCCCAUUGGCUGACAGCGCCGCGAGGCGGAAGUCCGCAAGGAGAGCAGCGAGAGGCAGGUUAGAACAGCCGGAACCAUAGAGAGGAAGGGGGAGGCUGGACCGGGAGUGGGUAAGUUCGGGAUGGGAAGGGAGGAGGGUGACAGCGCCUCCUUGAGGCCGGGAGGAUCGUAUACAGAGAUGGCGACUACGGCGGGGGACAGCAAAGCGGCCGACAGCAAAGCGGCCAACCGGACGGGAACACCACGUGACCUUUAGCCCCGCCCCCCGGCACAAACCACGCCCACAGCCUCGUUCCGUAUCUUCACUUUUAUAAAGGAGGUGAAGGUGGGGGGAGGGGGUUUGGGAGGGGGAGGGGGCGAGGCAGCUCCUCCCCCCCCCCCAACCCAGCAGCAGCUUUAAAUAAAAUUUAUUAAAAAAACAAAACAACAACAACAAAAAAAACCCAACAAAAUAACCCCAAACCCGAGAAAUUCAGUGCCCCCCCCCCCCCCUCAACCCCUCCCCUCCCGGUUUCACAUUUGGGGACAAAGGGACAAUAAAUAGAGAAGUGGGGGGGGGGGGGGGGGGGGAAGAGGGACACCGGGGGGUGGGGGGGAAGUGCUGUGGGGUGGGGACCCCCAUAUAGGGACCCUCCCAUAUAGGGACCCCCCCCGUAUAGGGACCCCCCUCACAUAUAGGGACCGCCCCAUAUAGGGAACCCCCUCAUACGGGGACCCCCUUAUGGGAUCCCCCCUACAAAAGGACCCCAUUAUUGGGGACCCCACUGAGACUCUGCUAUUGAGGCCCCCCCCCCCCC